rnacentral:rRNA from 1 species
UGGGGAAUAUUGGGCAAUGGGCGCAAGCCUGACCCAGCAACGCCGCGUGAGGGAAGAAGGUUUUCGGAUUGUAAACCUCUGUCGCAGAUGACGAAACAAAUGACGGUAAUCUGUGAGGAAGCCCCGGCUAACUACGUGCCAGCAGCCACGGUAAUAAGUAGGGGGCGAGCGUUGUCCGGAAUUACUGGGCGUAAAGGGAGCGUAGGCGGUCAAUGAAGUUGGAUGUGAAAUACCCGGGCUUAACUUGGGGGGUGCAUCCAAUACUGGUUGACGAGAGUACAGGAGAGGAAAGCGGAAUUCCUAGUGUAGCGGUGAAAUGCAUAGAUAUUAGGAGGAACAUCGGUGGCGAAGGCGGCUUUCUGGACUGACACUGACGCUGAGGCUCGAAAGCGUGGGGAGCAAACA